UACGGAGGAUCCAAGCGUUAUCCGGAUUUAUUGGGUUUAAAGGGUGCGUAGGUGGCCUAUUAAGUCAGGGGUGAAAGACGGUAGCUUAACUAUCGCAGUGCCUUUGAUACUGAUGGGCUUGAAUACAGAUGAAGUGGGCGGAAUGUGACAAGUAGCGGUGAAAUGCAUAGAUAUGUCACAGAACACCGAUUGCGAAGGCAGCUCACUAAAUUGUGAUUGACACUGAGGCACGAAAGCGUGGGGAUCAAACAGG
rnacentral:rRNA from 1 species